AACGAACGCUGGCGGCAGGCCUAACACAUGCAAGUCGAGCGGAUCCUUCGGGAUUAGCGGCGGACGGGUGAGUAACGCGUGGGAAUAUGCCCUUCUCUACGGAAUAGCCUCGGGAAACUGGGAGUAAUACCGUAUACGCCCUACGGGGGACAGAUUUAUCGGAGAAGGAUUAGCCAGCGUUGGAUUAGGUGGUUGGUGGGGUAAUGGCAUACCAAGCGUACGAUCCAUAGCUGGUUUGAGAGGAUGAUCAGCCACACUGGGACUGAGACACGGCCCAGACUCCUACGGGAUGCAGCAAUGGGGAAUCUUAGACAAUGGGGGAAGCCCUGAUCUGGCCAUGCCGCGUGAGUGAUGAAGGCCUUAGGGUUGUAAAGCUCUUUCAGCUGGGAAGACAAUGACGGUAACCGGAGAAGAAGCCCCGGCUAACUUCGUGCCAGCCGCCGCAGUAAAAC
rnacentral:rRNA from 1 species